UACGUAGGGAGCAAGCGUUUGUCCGGAAUCAUUGGGCGUAAAGCGCGCGUAGGUGGCUUCUAAGUCCGUUGUGAAAGUCAAAGGCUCAACCUUUGAAGCCGAUGGAUACUGCGGAGCUAGAGUACGGAAGAGGCGAGUGGAAUUCCUGGUGUAGCGGUGGAAUGCGCAGAUAUCAGGAGGAACACCAAUAGCGAAGGCAGCUCGUGGGACGUU
rnacentral:rRNA from 1 species